CUUAAAUAAUUAAGCCAAAAUAAGAAUUAAAUUCUUUAAUCUACAACAAGAUUAUCUCAAUCUGGUAUUAAAAAUUAAACAAACACUUCCUUUUCUACAAAGAUUCGGCAAAAAAAUGAGAAGCAUUUGUUGCAGAUAAUUUUUAUGAGCAAAUUUUCGGAACGUUUACCUCACUAAAAGCGCUUGAAAAAUUCUAAGAGUUACUUCCCUUAGCUGAAUCUUUUGUGUAAACAAUAUGCAAUAUGGCGGCAAACUUGGCUGAUGAGCUCUGUGUUGGGUCUGUAACAACGGGGCUACAGUGGAUCAGAGCUUGAGCUGACUGGGAAGCAGACUAUUCAUACAUUAGGAAAAGAAAACACUGUUGUACAAGACACAAUCAAAGAAGAUGGAGGCUCAUCUGUAAAUCAAGAACUCACAGUUCAUAGGAUACCUUUCAGCAGUUAUUCACAAACAUCUGAUGUUGUAAAUCCAAGCACAAAUACAGAUGAUUUUGAUCAGAUUAUAAAUACGCAAGUGUCCAUUAAUUCACAAGGCAGCCUCUGGUUACCAAGCAGUCAAGAUAC